rnacentral:ribozyme from 14 species
GGAUCUAUGCUCACUGGAGUAUGCAAAUAUUCACACACGAAUGGAACGAGAAACAUAAGAAGAGCGAAUAGAAAUCAAAGUUGGAGAAAUA